GGAGAUGUUCCAUGGGAGUAAGUUUCUUUAAUUCCUUAUUCUCUCUCAUAAAGAUAAUUUUGAUCUGCGUUUCUGGGAACUAAAAAAGGUUAUUUACUGUUAUUGCAGAAUGUUCAUGUCGUCUUGCAAGAGGUUGAGGAUCAUGAAAGGAUCAGAAGCAAGAGGCUUGGGCUGUGGAGUAUGAAAACCCCCACAAGCCAUAGCAGCAACCCAACAGAGCAGGGAAAAGACAACAUUUUUUUGACUAAUAUGAAGAGAAAAUCUUUACAGCUUGGGUUCUUCAGGAAGAUAUUCAAUCUGAAUCUCUGGGUCACGCUACUGACAGAUCCUCCGCAGCUGAACAAAAAUGGCAGAGUGUUUGGACAUCUAUAUGAUGUCAAUUUUGUUGGUCCUUGUGAUCUCAUCAAACCAAAACUGCAUACAGGAAGAUAUUCCCUUCAAAUGCAACUGUGUAAAUGGAAUUUUUUUUAAAAAAAAAAAAAAGACAGGAAAAAGUGAGAAAUGACUAAUUGACUAUCUUUCUCCAUAAUUUGACAUGUUCAAAGCAUUUUCCACUGUUUUGAACUUCAUAUAUAAAAGAAUUACAUACCUUGAGCCACUAGCCAGAAUUUUUUUUUUUUUUUAAAUGUAACCAGAGUCAUGCAGCAUCUUCAACUCAUUAACUGAAUAACAGAAUAUACAUUUUUUUUUUUUUUGGUGAAAACAAAGCAAGUCAUAUUACAGACGAAAUAUCGAUCACAGAUAGGAGGGUGACAAA
rnacentral:misc_RNA from 1 species